UAAAUCAGAGAGUACAAAACUAUCAGAUCUAACGGAAGAAGAAAUUCGUACUUAUUUUUAUCUGUUCGAGGGCCCUCGUAGUCCUACUGGGAGCAAGUCUGAUGAAUCAGAGUAUAAAGAAUCAGAGACUGAAGAAUCAGAGGAUGAAGGAUGUUUUAUUGGUGAAUGUAAGUAUUGUUUAAAGGUGAAUAAGCACCCAACAAACCAAUGCUCUUACAAGUAUAAAGUCCCAAAGGACGCAAUUGUUGGCGAGAGUUGUGUGGUUGCAUGUCUUGUAUGUGGCUGCC